AAGGUUUACAAAGAAUUCCCGAUAGGACGGCCACAACCGGUCGGAAGCCUUGUAACCGAGAAAAUAAGGGGGAAUAAUAAUG
rnacentral:sRNA from 2 species